rnacentral:lncRNA from 1 species
GGGUUCGUGGCAUCCGCGCCGCGGCCGCAAGUAUAGCAGGUUUCGUACCUGGUGUUCAUCGCCGUUAAGUCAUCGCUGCUGCCACCCAGGCACGGCUCUCUAUGCCGCCGCUCCCUCCACCCUCUAGGCACUGCCUGCCGUAAGAAUUUUAACUGCGACACUCGCUUCAGCAGGAGUGACUUCAACAGAAGUGGAGUAAAUAAAGAUGAUCACAGAACUUGGAAGCUGACGAAAUUAAUUUUGGAAAAGAGCUGGCUUGGAGCAUGACAGAAGAAUUCGAUGGAAAGAGUGCUGGGAGCCCAACUCAAGACUGAUGUGUGCUUGGCAGGCAGUCUACCCCCGAUCUCAGUCCUCCAGCCUUUCGGCCUUUUUUCCUUUUUGGAGACAGAAUUGCAUCAUAUGGCAUCCUACACAGUCCUGCCUCAGUCUCUGCAGUGCUGGGAUUGUAGGCCUAUGCCACCUAGCCUUUCUACAAUACAAACAAAUAUGAAAAGAAGAGGGACUUCUUUGGAAAGGAGUACAGGGACUAUGGAAGAGAUGAAAAGAUAAUAUUGUCAGAAAUUAUGCCGCUUUUGAAGAGAUAAACUGAACUCUUGAUUCUGUGAGGUUAUUAAAGAAUAUUAAUUUUCAAAUCACGGUAAAAUCUUGAUUCAGCAACACAUGAGGAUAAUCAUUGUGUCCAUGGAAACCUUGGGAAGCAGUUGAAAGCCUGGUCCCUCUUGCCUGGAGCAUUAACACAACGUGGCUGCAAAGUUAGUCCUUUCCCGCUACCAUCUCCUGAAUACUGGGACUAACUACACGUAUGCACGAACCUGCCCAUCUUUGCCUCUGUUAACAGCUGCCACUGUCUCUUCACGACAUGAUGGCUGACCUAGGUUGGAAGGAACAGAGCCAGUUGGCCAUGGACUGAAACUUUUGGAACUGAUUCUGAGGAGUUAAUGUUUCCAUGAAUAUCUCAGAAGGAGAUGUGGACAAACGAACAGUUAUCUCACUCCUGUAGGUUGGACUACAGUGAUCACUGAGUAGGAGCUUCGUCUUUAAAAUCUGGGGUGUGCUGUUAUGCAAUCUUCUUUCCCUGCCCAGUACUGGAUCUGUGAAAAGCUGAAUCAUGAAUCAGUGAGUGUGCGGAUUGGAACCCAAGUUGCUCUCUGGAUAGAACGAAAGGAGUCGUGCCCCAAGAAGAUGGAGAGGGAAGUUAUGAAAUGCUGUGACCAAAUAACAAAUGCUGAUGUUUGGGGAGAUAACUGUUUCCCAUAGGAAAUAGAGUGAAUGCGAUGUCUUUCUUUUGUGAGGGAUUCAUAGACCGCUUCUCAACGCUUGUUACAUGUUACUCCUUUUUUCGAGAUUUUUAUUUACCUAACUGGGAAAGAAACCAGAACAAGGUUUUCAUUGAAUUCUGAUACAGGUAUUUAAAGACUUACGGACAAGAUAUAGAAGAAGAAGUGGUAAUUAACUGAUUAAAGAAGUACAGUUUAUAUCCAGUAGACAGACAGGCUCCAGACAUCCUUAGUGCUGUCUUAGCAUCAAAGGUUAAUCUACCUAAUACUUGUCAUCCUGAAAUGCAUGGUGGAACAUCCAACAGACAAGAGCUACUUCAGGGAAGGACUAUGAUUUUUGUCGUGGAAGACAUUUAACACAGGGCAGCUCCUGUGCACUUACAUGAUAGAUAUUGCUCUUCCGGGGACUCUGAAUGCUCAUCCCACUUUCAGCUCACUAGGCACAUCGAACUAGAAAUUUUAUCAUCUCGUGAAUUAGUCCAAUACCUGAAGGAGCAAGAGAACCAACACCCAGUUGACAAGAAUAUGACCUGUUGAUUGAAGACCAUUAAGAAAGUAACUUGAUUCAGUUGGACUGGACUUUUUUAUUCUAUUGAAAAAGGAAUUUAUUUCCCCUCAGUGAACGUAACAUGAUCAACAUUUUGAAAGUUGUGAACAUGCAUAGUUCUAUAAUUUACAAAAUAAUUAUAAAAAUCUGAGUAUGGAUGCAGCAUAAUUUCAGAACAGAAUAGCCAUCAUACUUUUUAUAUAUCUUAAAUUCGAGUUUUCAAGAGUAUAUUUCUAUGUUAUAUCCUUUGAUUAGUACAAUAUAAAAUCUACAUCUAAUAUGUACUUCAGGUUUUAUUAGAUCAUGCCAUAUUACUGUACAAUUUGGACUUUUCCAUUUUUAUAUAAAAUGUAACAUGCAUUGUACAUUAAUAUUUAUAUAUCUUGUUUAUUUAUAUAUCUUUAGAAUUAAUUUCUGCCAAUUAUUUUCUUUAUUUGAAUACUUGGGGUAUCAUAAAGGUGCUGUUGAGGUAUUCUCAAUAUGCUUGUACAACUUCCUGCCUGUAGUUAAUAAAUGUGGAUAUUUCAUUAAACAAUUGAAAUA